AUUGAACGCUGGCGGCAUGCCUUACACAUGCAAGUCGAACGGCAGCGCGGGGCAACCUGGCGGCGAGUGGCGAACGGGUGAGUAAUAUAUCGGAACAUACCCUAGAGUGGGGGAUAACGUAGCGAAAGUUACGCUAAUACCGCAUACGCACUAAGGUGGAAAGUGGGGGAUUCGCAAGAACCUCAUGCUCAUGGAGUGGCCGAUAUCUGAUUAGCUAGUUGGUGAGGUAAAGGCUCACCAAGGCAACGAUCAGUAGCUGGUUUGAGAGAACGACCAGCCACACUGGAACUGAGACACGGUCCAGACUCCUACGGGAGGCAGCAGUGGGAAUUUUGGACAAUGGGGGCAACCCUGAUCCAGCAAUGCCGCGUGAGUGAAGAAGGCCUGG
rnacentral:rRNA from 1 species